GACGAAGGGGGCAAGCGUUGUUCGGAAUUACUGGGCGUAAAGGGCGCGUAGGCGGUUCUUUAAGUCAGGCGUGAAAGCCCUGGGCUCAACCUGGGAGUGGCGCUUGAUACUGGGGGACUAGAGAGUGGGAGAGGUUGGUGGAAUUCCCAGUGUAGAGGUGAAAUUCGUAGAUAUUGGGAAGAACACCGGUGGCGAAGGCGGCCAACUGGACCAUUUCUGACGCUGAGGCGCGAAAGCGUGGGGAGCAAACAGGAUUAGAUACCCUGGUAGUCCACGCUGUAAACGAUGAGUGCUGGACGUUGCGGAGCUUGCUCUGCGGUGUCGUAGCUAACGCGCUAAGCACUCCGCCUGGGGAGUACGGCCGCAAGGUUG
rnacentral:rRNA from 1 species